GCCAAAUAAUAAUCAUCAUAAUAAAAAUGACCCACUAAUGACAGGAGGUUCCACAUGGAGUGCACAAAAUACCAUCUCUGCCUUUUGGGCAAACUUUCACUCAACAAAGAUUCUUGCCUUUUCUUAAUCUUGCCCUCAGUGAUCCAGUUGGCCUACUAGCCCAGAUAGCUCCAGAACCCAGCCAGCACCUGUCCUCUACGUGACAGGCGUGGAUAUGAAGCUUUCUUUGUUUGUAAAUAGGCCCGCAUCCGCUCCCACUGACAAGAACCCAGUUCAGCGGGGAUGGAGCCUUUAACCCUUUGUGGUGACGCGCACGCGCCCGCACACACACACAC